rnacentral:rRNA from 1 species
GAUAAACGCUGGCGGCGUGCAUAACACAUGCAAGUCGAACGAAGUUGCGAACGGGUGAGUAACACGUGGGUAACCUGCCUUACACAAGGGGAUAGCCUUUGGAAACGCAGAAUAAUACCCUAUAGUGUAAGAUGGACUUGCGGCUGAUUAGCUAGUUGGUGAGAUAAAAGCCCACCAAGGCGACGAUCAGCAGCCGGCUUGAGAGAGGGUACGGACACAUUGGGACGGCGACACGGCCCAAACUCCACGGGAGGCAGCAGUGGGGAAUAUCGCACAAUGGGGGAAACCCUGAUGCAGCGACGCCGCGUGAUUUAGAAGGCGGGCGGGUUGUAAAAAUCUUUUUUAUGGGAUGCAGUACCAUAAGAAUAAGGUCCGGCUAACUACGUGCCAGCAGCCGCGGUAAUUC